rnacentral:tRNA from 1 species
GCAUCGGUGGUUCAGUGGUAGAAUGCUCGCCUGCCAAGCGGGCGGCCCAAGUUUGAUUCCCGGCCGAUGCA